GUGAGCCGUCCUCCUUAUGCUGAGAAGGGCUCGUCGCGCCGUGACACCGUCUGUGGUUACUACUCCCGGGCAGGUCACCCAGAGUCUGACUGUCGCCAGAAGAAGCGAGACCAGAGGCGCUCCACCUCCAGCGGGCCUCCUGUGUCUUCCUCGACUCCGUCACACACUGACCAGGACAUUGUUCGCCUCAAGCGUCUUCUGGCUUCCUUAGGCUCCUCGUCGACUGGCUCUGCUGCUGCUGUGACUGCCCCCUCCUCCUCACCAUCACAGGCAUCUACACAGUCAGGUACAUCUUCGUGGGUUCUGGAUUUUGGAGCCUCUUUUCAUAUGUCUUCUGAUUCUUCCGCCUUGUCUUUUCUUCGGCCUCUUGAUUCGCCUGUUAAUGUUCUUACUGUCGAUAGCACAUCUCUUCCUGUUGCUAGUCGCGGUAUUCUUUCCACUCCUUCUUUUUUUGUUCCGAGUGUUUCACAUGUUCCUCGCCUUACCAUGAAUCUUUUUUCCGCUGCCCAAAUUACUGAUUCUGGUUGUCGUGUCAUUCUUGAUACCGACUCUUGCUCCAUUCAGGAUCGUCGCACCAAGGCUUUGGUUGGUGCUGGCCCAAGGCUUUGGUUGGUGCUGGCCCCCGUCGCCGUGAGUCAGAGGGCCUUUGGGAGGUUGACUGGCUUUGUGUUCCUUCCGCUGCCACCACUUCUGCUAGCUCUCAUGCACUAG
rnacentral:rRNA from 1 species